AUCAACUUUCGAUGGUAGGAUAGAGGCCUACCAUGGUGGUAACGGGUAACGGGGUGUUAGGGCACGACACCGGAGAGGGAGCCUGAGAAACGGCUACCACAUCCAAGGAUGGCAGCAGGCGCGCAAAUUACCCAAUCCCGACACGGGGAGGUAGUGACAAUAAAUAACAAUACGGGGUUCUUUCGGAUCUCGUAAUUGGAAUGAGUACAAUUUAAAUCUCUUAACGAGGAACAAUUGGAGGGCAAGUCUGGUGCCAGCAGCCGCGGUAAUUCCAGCUCCAAUAGCGUAUAUUAAAGUUGUUGCAGUUAAAAAGCUCGUAGUUGAAUUUCGGGAUCAAUAUGUUGGUCGUGCCUCGGUACGUACUGGCGUCAUUGGUUUCUACCUUCUGAAGAACCUCGAUGUCAUUAAUUUGGUGUCUUGGGGAAUCAGGACUGUUACUUUGAAAAAAUUAGAGUGUUUAAAGCAAGCUCACGCUUGAAUACAUUAGCAUGGAAUAAUGAAAUAGGACGUUUGAUUCUAUUUUGUUGGUUUCUAGGAUCGACGUAAUGAUUAAUAGGGAUAGUUGGGGGCAUUAGUAUUCAAUUGUCAGAGGUGAAAUUCUUGGAUUUAUUGAAGACUAACUACUGCGAAAGCAUUUGCCAAGGAUGUUUUCAUUAAUCAAGAACGAAAGUUAGGGGAUCGAAGACGAUCAGAUACCGUCGUAGUCUUAACCAUAAACUAUGCCGACUAGGGAUCGGAUGAUGUUAAUUUUUUAAUGACUCAUUCGGCGCCUUACGGGAAACCAAAGUGUUUGGGUUC
rnacentral:rRNA from 1 species